rnacentral:rRNA from 1 species
UACGUAGGGUGCAAGCGUUGUCCGGAAUUAUUGGGCGUAAAGAGCUCGUAGGCGGUCUGUCGCGUCUGCUGUGAAAACUCGGGGCUUAACCCCGGGCCUGCAGUGGGUACGGGCAGACUAGAGUGCGGUAGGGGAGACUGGAAUUCCUGGUGUAGCGGUGAAAUGCGCAGAUAUCAGGAGGAACACCGGUGGCGAAGGCGGGUCUCUGGUACGUGACUGACGCUGAGACGCGAAAGCGUGGGGAGCGAACAGG